rnacentral:rRNA from 1 species
UACGAAGGGGCUAGCGUUGCUCGGAAUUACUGGGCGUAAAGCGCACGUAGGCGGCUUUUUAAGUCGGGGGUGAAAUCCUGGAGCUCAACUCCAGAACUGCCUUCGAUACUGGAAGCUCGAGUCCGGGAGAGGUGAGUGGAACUGCGAGUGUAGAGGUGAAAUUCGUAGAUAUUCGCAAGAACACCAGUGGCGAAGGCGGCUCACUGGCCCGGUACUGACGCUGAGGUGCGAAAGCGUGGGGAGCAAACAGGG